CGUCUAGGCGGCGGCCUAAGUCUCGCGUGAAAGCUCCCGGCUCAACUGGGAGAGGGCGCGGGAAACUGGGCAGCUAGAGACUCGGAGGGGGGUGUGGAAUUCCCGGUGGAGUGGUGAUAUGCGUUGAGAUCGGGAGGAACACCAGUGGCGAAGGCGGCACCCUGGCCGAGGUCUGACGCUGAAGCGCGACAGCGUGGGGAGCAAACG
rnacentral:rRNA from 1 species